AGAGUUUGAUCCUGGCUCAGGACGAACGCUGGCGGCGUGCCUAAUACAUGCAAGUCGAGCGAGCUUGCCUAGAUGAAUUUGGUGCUUGCACCAAAUGAAACUAGAUACAAGCGAGCGGCGGACGGGUGAGUAACACGUGGGUAACCUGCCCAAGAGACUGGGAUAACACCUGGAAACAGAUGCUAAUACCGGAUAACAACACUAGACGCAUGUCUAGAGUUUAAAAGAUGGUUCUGCUAUCACUCUUGGAUGGACCUGCGGUGCAUUAGCUAGUUGGUAAGGUAACGGCUUACCAAGGCAAUGAUGCAUAGCCGAGUUGAGAGACUGAUCGGCCACAUUGGGACUGAGACACGGCCCAAACUCCUACGGGAGGCAGCAGUAGGGAAUCUUCCACAAUGGACGCAAGUCUGAUGGAGCAACGCCGCGUGAGUGAAGAAGGGUUUCGGCUCGUAAAGCUCUGUUGGUAGUGAAGAAAGAUAGAGGUAGUAACUGGCCUUUAUUUGACGGUAAUUACUUAGAAAGUCACGGCUAACUACGUGCC
rnacentral:rRNA from 1 species